CAAGCCAAGAGUCGGGUGUACAUGCAAUCAAGGGAAGCCUGAUUUGGUGGUGAGGAAGAGAAGUUCUUUUCCUUUUUAUUUCUUCUCUGACUUACAAAUCAAAAGUGUGUUAAUUUCUAUGUAUUUUGAACUUUCCAGCUUCCCUCCUAGCAUUCAUUUUUACUUUCAUUUCAUUGUGGCUGUGGCUGCCAGACAUCUAAGGAAUGCCGGCUACCUGCCUGUACUGUGUUGGGAUGAAGAGCACAACAGCAGUGUCCCAGGAAGACCUCUUGAAGCUGGGGUGCCACCACAUAGUACAUGCUUCUGCUCCAGCCUGAGAGGAGUUCUGUUUGCCUAGGAUACUCCACUGUCUUUGACUCUGGAAUUCUCAGAAACUGUACUAGAAAAUCUUACUUUCUGCAAGGGAACAAGGAAUGGACUUGCCAUUUUACCAUCUUAUGUCACCCACUACAGCAAACCCAGUUUUAACUCAGCCAAUGAGGGCUUGUAAAAAUUAAAACAUGCUGAGCAAUCACUAUUAGUGGUAGUGGUUAUUGAGUCAUCCAAAUUUGAACCAGUUUUGUCAAAUACCCAGGAAUGUGCUCAUGUUGACAGAAACAAGGGAUAGUAAUGAUCACAUUUAUUUGUACUGGGCUUUUUAUUUAGGAGAAAAUAAAGCACCCUGUUUCUAACUGGGUCUCCAAGUCGCCUAGAUUGGGUGUUUUUAGGUUCUUAUGCAUCUCUGGAUGGAUGACCCACAUUACUUUAAGAAUUCUGACACUGGAAUCAUGUCCAACGGCAGGUGGCCAGCAGUGCCUACAUACUACAUUUACUACUUAAAACACACUGAGAAAGACAGGCUUGGGGAAAAGAAUGUGAUUGAUCUGUGUUUAAUUAGUAUCUUUAAGGAUGGUGGUUUUUACGCCGGGCAUUGGUGGCGCACGCCUUUAAUCCCAGCACUCAGGAGGCAGAGGCAGGCGGAUCUCUGUGAGUUCAAGGCCAGCCUGGUCUCCAGAGUGAG
rnacentral:lncRNA from 1 species